AUACUUUUAGAUCCUCUAGCAGAGGGCCCAACUUUAAGUGGAGGCAAGUUAUAAAUAACAGGGGGGUUAGUUGCCCUGUUGCUUCCCUCAUACUUGAAUUGGCAAUCAGGCCAAAAAGCAGCUCACAUACAGCCUCUUGCUUUGCACUGCUCAGGAAUGAUUUGGGGAGAAGCCACUGAUUGAGGCCAGGCAAACUUCUUUCAGCUGUGUGGGGUGUGUGUUAAAUGACUAACUUGGAAAUGCUAUGAAAAUAUUUAAUGUAAGAGUGAACUAUUUGGGGAAUAAUGUUUGUAUCAAAACACAGGGAUGAGAUUUGAAUCUGGUGUGCACAUUAAUCUAAAUGAGAAACAGUUGGUGCUCAAAAUAUUCAAGACUUUUGCCCCGCAAAUAGUUUACUUCUAACUUGGACUUCCUCCCAGGGACAUUGGUUGUUUUAAGGUUUUGGUUUUUAUUUUAAAUCUGAUCUGCUUUGCUUCCAAAUAUCCCCUUCUAAGAACAACGCAACUUAUGUGAUUUAUCUGCCUAAGCAAAAGAAAUAGCCUAAUGAAGGAAAAGGGACUGAGAAGGGUCAAGGGGAGGAUCCAGUGUAAGAGACAUUGAAGUGCAGCAGCUCCCAUUGAUUUCGAGUUUGGAUGCUUGAUGAAUUGGAUUUGUGUGGAUUCAAUUCAACUUGAGCUGAUCUGAACCUUCCUUUGGAAUUUAGAAUGUGAUUUGUUCUUCUCAAAUUUUUGCAAUGCAGUUCAUAGCUCAAAAAGCUUACCAAAAUGUGUUUUUAACAUUUUUUAUUUUAGGAUGAAAUGCAUACAUUUGGGCAGAAUAUGUGUACGCUUGCUCUUUUGUGUUCAAUUCAGUGUUGGUUUUUCUUUAUAAAUCUAAAUGAUAAUUUGUAAAGGUGUACAUUAAUGCAGAAAUGGGACCGAACAGACUUAUGAAUGAAUAUGUGUAAAAGUGACACGGACUGUUCGUCCCUAGCUUCAGUGGGCUUGAGCAACAGGAUUGCUUUAUAGGUUGUGCCUGAAGUUUCCUUCUGUGAACCCUCUAAAACAAUUAAGUUUCAACCAUUUUUAUUUCCAAAACAUAUUUUAAAUUGCUUACUUUUGAAAAGCCUAUUAAUUACAUAGUAAUAUAUUGAUGAAUGUUACAUUUUUAAGACCGCUUGCAAAUCCAUACAGUAUUUGCUAUUCCAUUCAUAUAUAAGCUGUUUCAAGGAACUUUGUAGGGGUUUAUGUUUUAAAAAAUUGAUCUACUUUUUUUGUUUAUUAAAUGAGCUGCUUCUCAAUACUCUGGUGCUGCAAACAUGAAGGAAGAAGAGUAAGUUGGUCAUGAAAAUAUUUCCAUGAUUAUUUUAUGCAUUGAUUUCAAGAUUAUGAAGUAUAUUCAUGGGGCUACUUUUGAGCUUUGCCAUGUGCAGAGGUAUUGAGCUGAUGUUUGCUUAAUUGGUCUAGAUCUCUCUCUAUCCCCCCCCUUUUUCUAGACUUGAAGCUGUCUAGCAUGUACUGCACUUUUAGGUGCUUUUUGAAAUACUCAUUAAUGCACCUGUCAACUGUAGCAAGGUAGCAAAUAUUUUGUGGACUAGAGAAAUCUUAAUCACAUAUAUGGUAUGCACAAGCCAGAACUAUUAACUUUCAAAAUGUGGACUGAUUUAUCCCGCAAUGAUUUAUUGACUUCAAUCGGAUUUUCUGAUUAUUCUUGGAACUGGAAUUGAAAUGAAUAGCGAUUGCAUGGCAGAUCUCUUUCCCUUUUAUAAUGGUUCUGAUUUUCUUCAUUAAAUUUUUAUACAGUUUUGCAUGGAUGAUCAGGGGGUGGGCCAACAGGAAAGAAUUCCACCUGAAAUCUCUUUGAAUGUAAUUCUAGCAGAUUAAUUCUUGUCCUGGGACGUGUGUGUGGCUGUAUGUCUGUGUAUUUGGUGAAAGGGAAACAAAUAUACUGCAUAUAUACAGGAAAUGCUUCUAGCUACAUUAGGAAAACAACAGCAACCCUGUGUACUUACUGCAAAUGCAAUGUAUACAAUAAAAAUUAUCCUUACGAGGCA